GUCAGAAUUCCAGCGAGACAUCAAUGAUGGCACACUCGAACUGAGUCACAUGAGAACAGUCUCUUAAAAGAACCAUUUAGAAAGACGAGGGCAAUGAGGGAGAGUGUGAUCCCCUAGGGCUCAUGACGGCAGGACAGUCAGAGUGCUGGACAGAACUCUGAGAAGGGAAAGAGUCACUGCAUCAUGGGCUUCCUGAACACUGACCAACAUCUUGGCCAUGGCUCUGUAAGAUGGAGAGAGAGAAUUCCUGUGACUGGAAAGAAAGUCUGAGCGGAAUGCUUCGUGGCCAACUUUCACCAGGGUCUUAAAUAUAAUUUCUUCAAGGUGCUGAGAUGAGUGGAUGAAGAAAAAGAGAAGAACUAGAAGCUCCCUUGGGAGUUCUUUUCAUCUUUUCUGCUGAUUUCUGCCCUGUGUUGCAGGGAAGGUACGAGAAACUAAGAAUCAAUAGGAUUUGCUGGCACCAUAUUGCUCAGGUGUACACUGAAAUUAGACAUCUGUUCCAUCCCUCACCUGCAUUUACCUAGUUUCCUGGAGCUUCCAUUUAUAAUGCUAGGCUCUAGCUGCCCCGAAAUAAGAAAAUCAAAAAGAAACACACAGCUAGCAUAUAUAUGACAUAAAAAUGAAUCUGACCAA
rnacentral:lncRNA from 1 species